rnacentral:rRNA from 1 species
GACGAACGCUGGCGGCGUGCUUAACACAUGCAAGUCGAACGGAAAGGCCCCUUCGGGGGUCCUCGAGUGGCGAACGGGUGAGUAACACGUGAGUAACCUGCCCUUGACUUCGGGAUAACUUCAGGAAACUGGGGCUAAUACCGGAUAGGAAUCCUUGCUGCAUGGUGGGGGUUGGAAAGCUUCGGCGGUUUUGGAUGGACUCGCGGCUUAUCAGCUUGUUGGUGGGGUAGUGGCUUACCAAGGCUUCGACGGGUAGCCGGCCUGAGAGGGCGACCGGCCACAUUGGGACUGAGAUACGGCCCAGACUCCUACGGGAGGCAGCAGUGGGGAAUAUUGCACAAUGGGCGGAAGCCUGAUGCAGCAACGCCGCGUGCGGGAUGACGGCCUUCGGGUUGUAAACCGCUUUCAGCAGGGGCGAAGCUUGUGGUGACGGUACCUGCAGAAGAAGCACCGGCUAACUACGUG